rnacentral:rRNA from 1 species
UACAGAGGUCUCAACCGUUGUUCGGAUUCAUUGGGCGUAAAGGGCUCGUAGGCGGUCUGUCACGUCGGGAGUGAAAACUCAGGGCUUAACCCUGAGCCUGCUUCCGAUACGGGCAGACUAGAGGUAUGCAGGGGAGAACGGAAUUCCUGGUGUAGCGGUGAAAUGCGCAGAUAUCAGGAGGAACACCGGUGGCGAAGGCGGUUCUCUGGGCAUUACCUGACGCUGAGGAGCGAAAGUGUGGGGAGCGAACAGG